rnacentral:lncRNA from 1 species
CUUCGAUGAGCAGUGCGGUUGUUCACCUGCAAAGAUGAAAGCCAAUGAGAGGUUCAAGUUCCUUGACCCCGAAUAUCCAGUGAGUGGAGACUGUGUCCUGUUCAUAAAGUCUGUCAUCUCUAAUUCGGCAAAGACAGUGAUGACUGUAUAUAUGCAUACCAAUUCUCAAACUCAAACAAUACACGAACAGUAACACUGAGAGUUUGUGGAAUCCCACAUCAAUAAGGCUUAAUUAUUAAAGGUACCUAAAACUUCAUGUGCUCCAACUGUACUGGAAACCUUUUAAUACUUCUGGCAUCAUUUUUUGCAUCCAGACAAAUUUCACUGAAGGAUGACACACCCUGAGGCCUGACUACAUCACAGAAAUCAAACAUCAUCAAACAAAUAAAUAAACAAAAAGGUUCAAGAAAAGACUGAAGCACAUAAUCUUCACAUUCAUCAUAAAGGAUACCAGACGACUGGCCACGGUAGCAGGAAAUUUCAUGCUAAGCUGUUUGUGAAGUCUCAAAAUGAUACAAACAUAAAUAUAAUCAGAAUAUCCAAUUGGAUCAGACCUAGUAUUUUCUUCCUUUUAGCAUUUCCAAGGAAUUUUUGUAGAAUUAAAAGAUGAAAUUGUGAGAAUCUAUUUUCAUUUUACUUUAACCCUUCUAAUUUUUACUUAAUUGAUUAGUAUUUGUGGUAAUAAGAAUAACGGCUCCUCAAAGAUGUCCAUACCCCAAUCCCCAGAAACUGUGAAUAUGUUAUGUUGUAUAGCAAUGGGGAAUUAUAAUUGUAGAUGGAAUUAGGUUUGCUAAUCAGCUGACAAUAAGAUGGGGAGAUUAUCUUGGAUUAUCCAAGUGUUCCCAGUGUAAUCCUCGGGAUCCUUAUAAGUGAAAGAGGCAGAGAGGCAAGAGAAUCAAAAUCAGAGAGAAAUUAGAAGAUGCUAUACUAGUGGAUUUAAAGAUUAAAGAGGCCACAGGCCAAAGAAUAAGGGAAAAGGCAAGGAAAUUGAUUCUCCCCAGUGCCUCGAGAAGGAACAAGCCCUGUGGAUACUUUGAUUUUAGCCCAAUAAGACUCAUUGUGGACUUUUGACUCCAGAAAUAUGAAAUAAAGUUGCAUUGCUUAAAC